GUCCUAGCCCUAACGAUGGAUGCUUGGUGUAGCGGGUACCCAAUCCCGCUGUGCCGGAGCUAACGCGUUAAGCAUCCCGCCUGGGAGUACGGUCGCAAGGCUGAACUCAAAGGAAUUGACGGGGCCCGCACAAGCGGUGGAGCAUGUGGUUCAAUUCGACGCAACGCGAAGAACCUUACCUGGGCUCGAAGCGCAGUGGAAUCCGGUGGAAACACUGGCGCCCGCAAGGGUCGCUGCGUAGGUGCUGCAUGGCUGUCGU
rnacentral:rRNA from 1 species